rnacentral:tRNA from 2 species
GGAGAGGUGGCAGAGUGGUUGAUUGCGGCGGUCUCGAAAACCGCUAGGGGUGCAAGCUCCUCGGGGGUUCGAAUCCCCCCCUCUCCG